UACUCCUACGGGAGGCAGCAGUGAGGAAUAUUGGUCAAUGGGCGCGAGCCUGAACCAGCAACGCCGCGUGAACGAAGAAGUUAUUCGUAAUGUAAAGUUCUUUUAUUGGGGAAGAAAGAGAAAUUUGACGGUACCCAAUGAAUAAGCUCCGGCUAACUACGUGCCAGCAGCCGCGGUAAUAC
rnacentral:rRNA from 1 species